rnacentral:lncRNA from 1 species
UCGCCGCACUCGAUUGGUAAAGUCCGGACGUGGGGAUCGCCUGGUCUAAGCUCGGUGCCCGCUGGCUGCAGCUUGGGUCGCUCAAAGUUGAGUUCCCUGUCGUGGAAGGAGCUGUCGAGAAUACACUUUCUUUGUCUGGUGUUUCCCCUCGGUUUAAUGUGCUUCCUGUAAAUCCCUCCACUGCGUCUGAUGUCGCAUCUUUCAAAGAAAUGGGUGCGGUGAUUGGACUCUGAGGCUCCUCACACAUCGUGGCCUCGGAACUAGGAUGUGUUCUCAUCCUGGGCCUGGUCAUCCAAGUCAUCCUGAAUUGAGCAGCCUCCCAAUCCAGAAAAACCUUGAACACCACUAGUGAAUGCACAGGAAAGAAGCCACAACAUGCCUGGCAGUUGAAGAUCAGCAACCCAUUACCCCAGCUCCCCUUUGGCCCUGGAGCAGCCCAGGCUCCUUGGAGGGGAUGUCAUCCACUCCUGGCCACUGGGCCUGGACCUACCCAAGCCACUCCUGA